rnacentral:rRNA from 1 species
GACGAACGCUGGCGGCGUGCUUAACACAUGCAAGUCGAACGGUAAGGCCCUUCGGGGUACACGAGUGGCGAACGGGUGAGUAACACGUGGGUGAUCUGCCCUGCACUUCGGGAUAAGCCUGGGAAACUGGGUCUAAUACCGGAUAGGACCACUGCCUGCAUGGGUGGUGGUGGAAAGCUUUUGCGGUGUGGGAUGGGCCCGCGGCCUAUCAGCUUGUUGGUGGGGUGAUGGCCUACCAAGGCGACGACGGGUAGCCGGCCUGAGAGGGUGACCGGGCACACUGGGACUGAGAUACGGCGCAGUGUCCUACGGGAGGCAGCAGUGGGGAGUAUUGCACAAUGGGCGCAAGCCUGAUGCAGCGACGCCGCGUGAGGGAUGACGGCCUUCGGGUUGUAAACCUCUUUCAGCACCGACGAAGCGCAAGUGACGGUAGGUGCAGAAGAAGGACCGGCCAACUACGUGCCAGCCGCCGCGGUAA